UCACCUACUGUUACCAGCUACCACCCAUAACAAGACCACAAGACCAAAAAUGUCAAUUGUAUUACCAGCAAUAAACAUAAAUGAAAACGUGAUCAACGGGCAGGAUUAUGAAGUGAUGAUGCAAAUUGACUGUCAGGUGAUGGACACCAGGAUCCUCCACAUCAAAAGCUCCUCCGUCCCUCCUUACCUCCGAGAUCAGCAGAGGAAUCAAACCAACACUUACUUUGGUUCCCCUCCAGCAGCCACCAAGGCGACCCAUGUUGUCAGCACCAUCCCUGAAUCAUUACAGUAGUACCCUGCAGCUACAUUGGAAGACUAAGAAUGAGACCCUGCCAAACUGAAGAGUGGUGAGAGAAAUGGUGUUCUCUGCCUCCUUUGUGGCAAGCAGACAACUGUCUCAUGCUGUAGCUCAAGGAUGGGGAGAGAUUGAAAAAGAAGCUGCUGUUUUCCACCAUCCACUAUUUGCAAAGCACUGGAAAUUAUAUGCAAGGGAACAUUUCUUUAGUGGCAAAUGUGGCCUGCAUCCUCCAGUGUUACCUUGUGUGGAUUUUUUUCCCCAUACUUUUCUUAAAUGCUUUCCCUGCUGUAUUUGUUUUAUAUUUAGUCAUCUUCUUUCAAGUAAGAUCCAGUUCCCCUUUCUGCCAUUUCACUUAUUGAUACAGUAAAGUGAUUUUUCUUUAAAGCUGUAGCACAUGGUUGUUCAGAUGGUUCCCACUUACCGAGUUUCUCAUUCCUUUAAUGCACACCCAUUCUGGAAAUUGUGCAAAUUUCAAAACCAGAACAGCCAAUAAUACACUUCACAAAGAAUCAAAACAAUUUGGAGCUUUGGCUAAAAAGGGAAUAUACCCAUUUAGUAAAGUUUAUUUUUACUUAGCAUUCAUGGUUCACACCUGAAUGGGUGGCUGUGUUGGGGGUCAGAGGUAAACUGCAUAUUUGAGAGAAUGGAAGGGAGUUUAAUUAAUUGAUACAUGUGUUAAAACAUUGAAAAUUUGAUGUGAUUGCAGUUUAAGAUUAAAGCCAUAGCUACUUUUUAUUUUUAGGAUUCAAGGUCCCCAAGUGAUAGCAUGCAGAUUUAUGUGUUUUUUUUUUUUUCCUUUGUGGUACUGGGGAUUGAACCCAGAACCUUGUGCAUGCAAGACAAGCACUCUACCAACUGAGCUAUAUCCCCAGCCCCAGAUUUAUGUCUUCUUAACUAACCUGUGCAAUCCUCAAGGCCUACAGGGCAGUUCCUUAUAUUUCAUGGUGAAUCUCCACCCACUACACACAUACUACUCUCUAUAUAAUACCAAAUUGAGUUAAGGAACAUGGAGGUGACGUAAGCAAGACAAGAGCUUUCGAGGAUUGACAAGUAUUAUUUAAUACAAUGCAGACAAGCAAGCUUGUAUUCCUGCUGGAUGCAACCCAUAAUAUGGCAAUAAUCUUCAGUUUCUCCAGUGAACAGUGAAGAAAUUAACUCUUUUGUUGUCCCAUGGCUUUAAAAAAUUUAUAUUCUUAUAUUUUACUGUACUUUGACUACUUUUUUUUCAUUUGAUGAAUUCUCAAAAAUGGAUCUCAGGUAGUGAUCUCCACUCAGAUGUUCUGCCUUCAGUUUUCUAAUGGAACUCUUUCUCCCUCUCCUUCCUGAAACUUUUCAACUUCUUGAUAAAACUCAUUCUACAAACACUGCUUCUCACCUCCACAAAUUUGCCUUUGUGAGAUUCCUUUCUUUCCAUUCCACACUGUAUCAACUAAUUCCUCUUCCUCCCUGCAGGAGAAGAAAAUUUUUAUCAAUCCCUCAAGGAUUACAUGUAGUCAGUUCAUUUUCUGCCUUCAAACCUAUUAGACUUGCAGUAAUAAAUAAUUUUAAAGAAUCACCGGUACUUCUCUCUAGAUAGUGAUCUCUCAGGCUACUAGAUGCUUUCUAAGGAAAUCAGUUUCAUUUUGUAGGGAUGGAGGCCUCUAUUGCUCUUUUACCUGAGAAUCUGGAGAUGGAGGAGUAUUAACUACCUCUCAUCUUUUUCCACAUUUAAAACUAUUUUAAGUCAAUGGAGCACUCUCUGAUUUGGCUUCUGUGUGAUUUGCCAGACAAGAACCAUUUCUCUGGAGACUUUUCUUCUAAUGGGUACCAAGGRAUAUAAAAUGAAUGUCUAGAAGACUUCUAGGUUACUAGGCAAGUAACCUAUAGGGUAACCUCCAGCCCCACUCUUUUCCAUUCUGCGAUGUGAAUUAGCCCAAUAAGGGACUGGGACUGUGGCUAGUAGGCAGUGGCAGCAUACACUUCACAAAGAAUCAAAACAGUUUGGAUCUUUGGGUAAAAAGGGAAUAUCCCCAGUUGGUAAAGUUUAUUUGUACUUAGCAUUUGUGGUUUAUACCUGAAUGGGUGGCCUUCCCUUUUUACUUUAUUCCCAAGCUGCCGAUCUGCUGAAACUGUCAUUUCCAGCAGAUUCAGUGCAUCUGAAAUGAUUGUAGGUGGAGCCUCUCUCCUCUUCCUGGCACCAAAUCACACAAAAAGAAACCAUCACAUGAUCUUCUUGUGUUUAGCACUUCAUUUUCACUUCAUUUCUUCCCAGCUUUUCUUAUGUUCAUUCUAUCAACUCAUCAGACUGAAGACUUCAAUAUGUCAUGAACACCAAGAUUAAUUCCUCUCUUCUGGGUGACAGUGCGGAUGGUGGUUAGGAGAGAGUCACAGUCAAAGAGCAGACUGAUGUUAGGAGGGCCAGAAGCUCCAGUCACAGAGCGGGGCACCUGAGAAGUGAUUUCAAAAGCAGUCUGGGAGCCUUGCCUCCUCUUUUCACUCUCUGCCCCUAUAGCUUCUUGUCAUCAGCUGUGCUUGAAUUGAUCUUUUGAGAAUGAGGGAACAGAAUCCUCCUCAUGGUAGAGUUUCAGAAAACAAGUAAAAGGUUACUGACAAGCACAAAGAAAUAUUCUACUUUUUAAAGUACUGAAAGAACUAUUAUAAAACCCUAGGCACAGUAGCAGUUUUCACUUUAAUGUUUGUGUGCUAGCACUAGGCUUUUUAGGAAAUAGAAAGUUGCUAUGCCAAGUUAAUAAAUUGAGCAGAUAUUUGGGCUAAGUAUUUUGGUGGGGUUGCCUGUUAGGGGUUGUACCCAGGAAGUGUGAGAGAUAUAUGUAUCUAUCUAUCUAUAUUAUCUUUUUAUUAUUAUUUAUUAAAGUCUGAAGUGAGGCUUUGCAAGCUGUGAGAAAAUUAGACAAAUUCAUGGAGGAAGAAAGUCCAUCUAUUAUUAAGGUGGUUUUGAGCUCUUGGGCCAAUAAUACUAUAAUGUGGGGAAGUGACAGUGGAGACUAAUAGGGGCAGUCUUUCCAUCUGUUGCAAGUCCUGAAUUUUUAGGCUUAAUGGAAGUGAGUGAGUGUUUCCUCAUGCUAUCUACUGAAGGUGUUUGGAGCGGGCUUCUCUGUACACCAAUAGCACAGGAACAACUUCACUAGACUAUGAAGGUAAACCAACGCUCAAGGUAGGGGUUAAUGUGAAAGGAUGGAUCAUUCUCAAGGCAAAUCUAUCAUUUGCCAUGCUUGUAGUACAGCAACUUUACAUCAGAUUAAUAGGUGGAAUUUAUGUUCUCAGAAAUAAAAAGUCCCCCAUGAUAUAAAAGCUCAGAGCAUCUUYUGAUUUUUUUUUUUAUGACUUCAAGUUUUAGCACAAAAUUGGCACCUCUGUGCCUUUUCUUGUUAGCCAGAAGUAGAUAGAAGGUAUUUGAAAGCAAGGAGAUUAUAUGAGUCAUUCUUAAGUAUUCCCAAUAAACAUUCCUUAGAAAGAGAGAAGGAACUUGGAAUUCAAACUGAUUUUCCUAUCAUGUUUAAAGAGAUACUACCCUGACUAAUUUUUGUUGGUCCGAAUCUUCCUCCCCAGUAGUCACAGCAGCAGGUGCUAGUUAGAUACCAUUGCUGUGGCAUUUAGUGUUUAAAACUGGAGAACUCUCAAGCUCUCCCAGUGUUCAGACUAUUAUUUGAUUCUUGCUAUUUAACUAAGCUCAGGUUGUGAAACUUGACAGAAAUGUA